UACAGAAGUCUCAAGCGUUGUUCGGAUUCAUUGGGCGUAAAGGGUGCGUAGGCGGCGCGGUAAGUCGGGUUUGAAAUCUCGGAGCUUAACUCCGAAACUGCAUUCGAUACUGCCGUGCUUGAGGACUGGAGAGGAGACUGGAAUUUACGGUGUAGCGGUGAAAUGCGUAGAUAUCGUAAGGAAGACCAGUGGCGAAGGCGGGUCUCUGGACAGUUCCUGACGCUGAGGCACGAAGGUCAGGGGAGCAAACGGG
rnacentral:rRNA from 1 species